rnacentral:rRNA from 1 species
UACGGGGGGGGCAAGCGUUGUCCGGAUUUAUUGGGCGUAAAGAGCGUGUAGGCGGCUGGGUAGGUCUGCUGUGAAAACUCGAGGCUCAACCUCGAGACGUCGGCGGAAACCCUCCAGCUAGAGUCCGGAAGAGGAGAGUGGAAUUCCUGGUGUAGCGGUGAAAUGCGCAGAUAUCAGGAAGAACACCCGUGGCGAAGGCGGUUCUCUGGGACGGUACUGACGCUGAGACGCGAAAGCGUGGGGAGCGACAGG